rnacentral:tRNA from 1 species
UUUGGGGAGGGGCCGUGGCUCAGUGGUAGAGCCUCUGUUUGGCAUGUAGAAGGUCCCAGGUUCAAUCUCCAGCAUAUCUUCAAAU